AUCUGGACCGUAGAUCUCGUUCAAUCUAACGGCUCACAUUCCACCCCGCCUCAUUAAGGGCAUUUUUGUAAUUUACGCGUUGAAUGACCUUCGUCCUAACUCAUACGUCGCUUCAUUUUCUUUCUCUCUCUUCUUCUGCAUUUUCUCUCUGCUCCUGCAAAUUCUCUAUUUCGAUUUCUCUAAUCUCGUCGCACGUCAUCAAUUUUGCAAAUUCUCAUCUCUGAUUAUUGUUGCUUAGGAUAAUUAAUGGGCAGAUCUAGAUUUGUCUGCAAAAUGAUCUCAGAAUUGGUUAGGGUUAUAAUGAGGUGUUCAAUCAUUCUAUAAUCCGGGAAUUCAAGGAAGCUAAGGUACAAUCGGCUUCUGAAGUAAUUUGAAAGCUACAAUUGCUCAUUACAAAGGUCAGGUCCUUACUUAGAGGAAGGUAAGCUAAAUCCUUCACUCCCUCACGUGGCCUAAACAUGAAGGGUGUUUUAGUGGCUAAUGAUCUUGAAAGUUUAGGCCACUAUUGAUAAUGUCAGACAUUUUGCAUUAUCACAUUGUCAGAAGGAGUUGAUAUUUUCAUUAUCACAUUAGAUGAUUGCUCCAUCAUAUCAUGAUCUUGAAUAGGUGGGCUAGCAAUUAACUAAGAGGGUCCUAAACAAGCAAAGUCUUGUUAAAAAAAUUAAAUAAGACAAAUGAUAACAUAAUGGUACAGGUUUAGUUAUAUACUUUGUUGUUGAUAUCCAAUUUAUAUACAACAAGAACUAUUUCAUGGUUAUAGAUCAAUGAGUUUAAUUGAUUGUACCUUAAAUGGAAUUCAUCUAUGAUGAUCAAAUGGUUUUCUUUUAUUUUAUUGAAUUAUUGACAUCUCUGCUUGGCUCUGAUAUCUUGUUCAGGGCUGUCAACUCUUGCUUGAAAAAAUUUAUUUGCAUAAAGGAUAGCUGAUUAGAAAUGCUUUAUGUUUCUUCUUAUAUUUUUGACCUUGAUGUCUCUAAAGAAGAGGUGAGUAUCAUAUACCAAAUUACUGAAAAUCAAGGUACAUGUAUAUAAACAAUCUUGUUAAUUUUGUAUACAUUUCCGGGCUUUCUCCUGUCAGCUCUUACUAAUAUUUGCUUGUAUAUAUUUGAAGGCCUAAGAAGUAAAACAAUCAACCCACCACACCUCAAAAUAAAAAAAAUAAGAAAGACGGAAUGGAAAAUGAAUAACACAUUAGAACUCACUAUAAAGGAUUUUUGGGUGCAAAAUAGAGUAGUUCAGGUUUAGUGACAUGGUACUUUUAAGAUUAACAAAAGAACAUCACAUUAUAUUUUGAGACCUUCCUUUACACCUUUAGCUAUGAUAUUAAUUAGUGUAGUUAGCAUCCCAUGAAACUAUCAAAAGAAAACACUUACCCUUUUCUUUUCUUGGUGACAAAAGUUUGCAUAUGUUUCUCUAGAUUUUUAUUUUUUUUUUAUAUUUUUACUUUUGCGAUUUUUUAAUUUACUUUUGCAAUUAAUUUUUUUAUUUUACCUUUUAUUUACUUCGAAUGUUUAUAUUAGUAUAUACUAGCCUACUAGCUCAAUUGGUAGAGCAUUGUGCAAAUGUGCAAAGGAUGUGGAUUCGAUUCUCACGUAGGUUAAUUUAUUAGGUGAAACUAUAUCUAUAUCUGUUUAGCUAGUUUUAUACCUAAAACGUAAUUUAAUUUACUUUUUACACUGAUUUAUUUACUUCUAAUUUGAAAAACUUUACUUUAACCUCAACUCAUAUACUUCUCUUUUGGUUGAUUACCACUCAUUUUUAGAGCGCUAUAAAAGGAAAUGACUCGGCUUCUAUGCUCAUUUAUCGGUUUCAAUGGCUUCGUUAUAUAAAUACAAUUGAAAUAUUUUGAUUUUCUUUUUAAUUUACUUUUGGUAUUGUAUUGUUUACUUUUAAUUUAAAAACCUUUACAAUGAGCUCGAUACUACUUGUGUCUUAUAACUUUUUAUCUUCUAAGGAUUUGAAUGCAAUAACUCGGAGUUUUUAUGCUGUAAUAAAGUCUCCAUAGUCAUUAAUCAGAGUAUCCAAUUAAAUUUUGAAUAUAUCUUUGUGCUAAUUUGAUUUAUUUUAAGUUAUUUUUUAUUUACUUUUGAGAUAUUUUGAAUUACUUUAGAGUUUCUAAUAUUUACUUUUAGAGAUAACCUAUGUAGGAAUCGAACCUUCACCUCUAUGCAUCCGCAUAGUGCUCUACCACUUGAGCUAAUAGGUUUACUUUACAGUCAUUUUUAUAUGACUUAGAUUAGAUUUAAUUUACUUUAAAUUUAGAGAUAACUGAUGUAGGAAUUACUUGUUUCAACCUUAUUCAUCUUCUUAAAUAUACAGAAGAUUAUUUUUAAGGUGAAAAUUUGAAAAGUGCCUGCAACCUUCCUGUUUUCUGCAUUAACCACAACAAUUGAUCGUAUUCUAUCAUUACUUUUUUCCACCCACAUUUGGAAGCCACUGUGAGCAAAAAACAUGGAGGCUCAGCCAUCGCUACUCCCCACUUUUCUUGGCCUCACCUGACUCUUGCUGGUAGACCUGCUUGGCCAUUCUCAUCCUAUGCCCAGCCAAGAGUUGAACGAGACCAACUUGAAAAGCUCAUUGUACAAUGGGAAGGUAGGGGAUGAUACUCUGAUUAAUUAGAUUUAAACUAUGUGCCUCGACAUUAAUGUUACUAGAUGCUAUUGGUUUGUUUUAAUUUUUGAAUAGGUUCUCCAUUCCAUAAGAUGUCCAUUUAUAUUGUUGUAUACUUAGUUUAAUUUUUUUGUUGUAUUUGACUUAAUUUGAUUUUUAAAUCUAGUUUUUACUACUUUGAUUGGGGAAAUUAAGGUACUCACAAUUUCAAAGCUAUAUGUUUCCAUAGGUUAUUUGAUAACUAAAUUCAAAUUAGGUCAUUAUAUUUUUGGUUAUUUAAUUUACUUUAGAGCUUAUAUUAUUUACUUUUAAGUUGAUUGUUGUUGUCGAGUCGAGUAUUUGGUUGUGUGGUUGUGAUGUAUGUUAAUGGUUGUGUGGGAGUUUCUGUUUGAAGUAAGGAAAAUGGAGUUAUUCUGCCUACUUCAACAAUGUCCAACUUCAAACAACAAAAGAUGCACGAAUCAUAGCUAGAUUUGUACUCUUAUUAGCAGAUCGAAGAUUUGAAGGACAUUGAUAGUAGAUUGAUUGUAUAUUGAUAGUAGAUUGAAGGAUAUUUCAAGAUGCACGUGGCCGACCUAGUGACAUCCUAACCAUGGAUGGGAAAUUUUCUACCUAGCUUAGUUGUCUUGGCCCCAACUUGUGCAAGGGUAGAACUUGUUGAAUUUACAGGGAUACUAGAGACAUUAUACCAUUUUUGUUGUGUAUUUAGUUAAUUUUCAUAAAUUUAUUUACUUUUUGUAUUGUUCUAUUUACUUUUAAUUUGAAAAACCUUUACUUUACCCUCAUAUACUUCUUAAGUCUUUUUUAUACUUCAUAUUUACUUUUUAGUUUUAUUAUUUACUCUUGAGAUUAUAUUAUUUCCUACGUACUCCAUUGCCACAACAAAGAAACCAUACUCAUUUAUCGCUUCACACCAUUGAUUGCUUACAUACUUUAGAGAUAUUUGAAUCUACAUUUUAUUUUGUUUUAUUUACUUUAAAGAUAUGUUUUUAUUUAUAAUUAAUUACUGUAAAAUUUCCUUAGAAUAGAGUUUGUUUUCUACGUCUUCUAGUUACGAUGAUGGCUCGCCCAUUAAUGUUGCAAUGCCUCACUCACUUGAUGUUGAUCACGUCAUCAUGGGUUGAUUUAUCACAAUUGAACAUGUGAAGAUCAGCCCGAAAAAUGAUCGGGUUGAGUGCUGCUGCCCUGCCACACAGGCCCUACCAAGGCUGCAGCUGCUGCCCUACAGGCCCUACCAAGGCUACUGCGGUUGGCUUGGCCUAGGCUGCUGCUACAACUCCUUCUCUGCCAUGGCUUGCUGCUGCUAUGCUAUUUCUGCUUUACUGCCUGCUGCUACUAUGCUACUUUUGCUCUGCUGCAUGCUGCUAUAAAUGCUGCUCGGGAGUUCUUAAAGUUGAGCGAAACGGGAAACGGGAAGCUGCUGUGAGCAAGAGUGCAGGAGGAGCAACAGAAGCAUGAGCAGAACUAAUAUUAUUUAUUUACUUUAAUGAUGUUUUAAUUUACUUUUUAGCCUUUUUUAUUUAAUUUUGAGCUGAGGCACUUUAUCACCAAACAAUGACAUGCUCCAUCUCCAACUCCAACCCCUACUCAGAUACGAAAUAAAAGAACAAAACUAUGUUACCAUAACCAAAGGCUUUAUUGCGAUUUAUAGAUUA